UACUUUAAUCGGUAAUUAGUGCAGGUGAAGAUUCAGUGAAGACGAAUCUGUGUAUCUGACUUUAGAAACUUGUGU